GAGCGAGAAAGUGGAGCAAUCCAUGAGUACAGCGGCGCACGGGUGAGUAACACGUGACUAACCUACCCUCGAGUGGGGAAUAACCUGGGGAAACCCGGGCUAAUACCGCGUAACACCUACGGGUCAAAGGAGCAAUUCGCUUGAGGAGGGGGUCGCGGCCGAUUAGUUAGUUGGCAGGGUAAUGGCCUACCAAGACGAUGAUCGGUAUCCGGCCUGAGAGGGCGCACGGACACACUGGAACUGAAACACGGUCCAGACUCCUACGGGAGGCAGCAGUGGGGAAUUUUGCGCAAUGGGGGAAACCCUGACGCAGCAACGCCGCGUGGAGGAUGAAGUCCUUCGGGACGUAAACUCCUUUCGAUCGGGACGAUAAUGACGGUACCGGAAGAAGAAGCCCCGGCUAACUUCGUGCCACA
rnacentral:rRNA from 1 species